GAUGAACGCUGGCGGCGUGCUUAACACAUGCAAGUCGAACGAAGCACCUUGAUUUGAUUCUUCGGAUGAAGAUCUUGGUGACUGAGUGGCGGACGGGUGAGUAACGCGUGGGUAACCUGCCUCAUACAGGGGGAUAACAGUUAGAAAUGACUGCUAAUACCGCAUAAGACCACAGCACCGCAUGGUGCAGGGGUAAAAACUCCGGUGGUAUGAGAUGGACCCGCGUCUGAUUAGGUAGUUGGUGGGGUAACGGCCUACCAAGCCGACGAUCAGUAGCCGACCUGAGAGGGUGACCGGCCACAUUGGGACUGAGACACGGCCCAAACUCCUACGGGAGGCAGCAGUGGGGGAUAUUGCACAAUGGGGGAAACCCUGAUGCAGCGACGCCGCGUGAGCGAUGAAGUAUUUCGGUAUGUAAAGCUCUAUCAGCAGGGAAGAA
rnacentral:rRNA from 1 species